UGAGGGGUGAGCUUUAGGCUCCCUAGGGGCUUAAAGAGCACCAGGAACCUUCCUGAAGCUUUCCCAAAAGCUAGAAAGGAGGAAAGGAAGGGAAGGAAAGGGAAGGGAAUGGAAGGGAAGGUGUUCCCUGAAAACUGAGUUCAUCCCUUGGUGGGUGUCUGUUGCUGCUAAGUCACUUAAGUCGUGUCCGACUCUGUGUGACCCCAUAGAUGGCAGCCCACCAGGCUCCCCUGUCCCUGGGAUUCUCCAGGAAAGAACACUGGUGGGUGUCACAACCAAGCAAAAGGAUCAGAAGGAAGGAUUUAUUACAACAGCAAGAAAGGAAAACGAGGGGCAUUUCCUCCAAGGCAGUGUCUCCCCAACAGCAAAAUUGGGGACGUUUUAACCUAAGGGACCCCCUAACCUAUCUGCUUACAGAGGGAGAAAGAAAAGAAACAGAGAAAGGAAGAAGAAAAGAGACAGAAGAAGGAAGGAUGGAAGGAAGGAAGACAGGUGAUUGUGGAUAUAGACAAUCUUUCCCUCAAUUUCUGUUUUGAUUACUUUUUUUCUUAAUUUUCUUCUCUAAGCAGCUGUGUUCAAAGUGUAGUCAUGUUAAGCUACAUGUUAAGUCAUGUUGAGAGGGCAGGAGAAGGUACACUGAUUUGAUGCGCCGCCCCCCACCCCCAAGUUAAAAGGGGCUUCCCAGGUGGCUCAGUGGGUAAAGAAUUCACCCGUAAUGCAAGAGACACAGGAGAUGCGAGUUCGAUCCCCCGGGUAGGGAAGAUCCCCUGGAGAAGGGCAUGGCAACCAACUCCAGUGUUCUUGCCUGGAGAAUCCUAUGGACAGAGGAGGCUGGUGGGCUACAGUCCAUGGGAUCGAGAAGAGUUGGACACAACUGAAGCGACUGAACACUUAAGCACUUCACUCCCAAGUUAAAAAUUUAUUUCAAAUCUGCUGCAAAGGGAGAUACUUUGAAAAAAAUCCAGUGGAAAGAUUCCCUCUGGGUAAAACAUCCAGUAUGACAAAAACUGUUAGAGAAUCAUCGUCAUAAGCUGAUUUUAAAAGUCUGGGUAAGUGACCUUAGCCUGUUUCCCAGAUGGAAGAUAGUUAUGUGCACAGAUCUAACUUCCAGAGAAGGCCUUCAUCUCAAUAACAUCUACUCAAGUAUUUUUUCCAGGAAUGCUAAUGACCAAGGGAUCCAGGCAGUGUGAGAUCAUCCUCAGGCCCAGGCAGGCCCCAGUCCUCGGGUCUCACCUAUAAAAGGUGCCCUGGAGGACGUGGGACAACCGGUCAGCCGGCCAGUGCUGUGUGCUGGGGAGUGGCCCUUGGGACAGCCACAUUGGGAAGCCUUAGAGCAAUUUCUGCAGAUCUCUACAUAGUAGCCCACUCUGUACCUGGACAACUGGGCUCCUCAGCACAUCACCAUGUCCAAGGGAAUGGGGUACCUAGGUCCAUCAAAUGAUGCAGCAUGGGACUUCCCUGGAGGUCCAGUGGUUAAGACUCCAAGUUUCCACUGCAGGGAGCACAGGUUUGAUCACUGAUUGGGUAACUAAGAUCCUGCAUGCCCAGAGGCAUGGCCAAAAAAGAAAUAAAAAUAAAAAUUGAUGUAAAACAAUGCAUAAUAAACAUACAAACAAAAGAUGCAGGCGGCACUUAGUCCCAUCAAAGUGAGAAUUAUCUCUAUUCAUAUACCAAUAAUGACUCUCUAAGAAGCAUUGGUAGGGUUGAAUUUGGUGACUUCUGAGGGACU
ensembl:lncRNA